GAUACCUCCUGAGGUCCCUUCCAACUCUGAGAUUCUAAAACUAUAUUGUGGACACUCAGGUGCAGGUUGGAGCCUGCACUCUGGCACUCUUCCAAGCCCCUGGGAACUGACAGCCCAAGCUUCAGUCCAAGCCCAGAUGUCUACACUGCAAUGUUAUAGCCCUGCAGGACGAGCCAAGUGAGCCUAAGUCUGCUGACCUGGGCCAGCUACAGGUCUCUUAUUGCAGUGUAGACAUGCCUAUAGGAUUUGGCUGAACUAAAGAGAGUAGUCUCAGGGUUAGCCACCAUGUUUUCUACCUUGACCUACCCAUGAGAGUCUCUGCUGCAGUCCCAUCUUAACACCUUUUGUCUUGAUUUCGCCGGUCAAGGGAUUAGCUAAAUCAAGGUAAAAAGUGUUAAUUUGCAGCUUCACUAAGAAAAAGGAAAGGCAACCUAACACGUGUGUGUUAGCCCCAACCUAACUUUGUCCUCUCUUCCUAAUCUAGGCAAACCAAGCCGCUGCUCUGAAACAAAAGCCUUUUGCCUGUGGUUGGGCAUAUUCCACUGCCUCUUCCAAAUAGCCCCUCCACAGCCCCUAACUCGGCUCUCUUCAGGUGUCAGCAGAUGGAAAGCAAGCAGGGUGUGGAAACACGGAGUGGACUAACACAAGGAUAUUACAGUGCAUCAGUUUCAAAUGUGUGCGUAUUCAUAAGUCUUCUGUCCACAUGUGACAGCUAACCUGACGGAUGGACAGGACAAUGGAUAUUUUAUGCAUCUGCUUUACUAGGAGAGUCAGUUUGCUAAGCUUCAGCGUAACAAGCACUGAUGAGGAUUUUCCUUCACGCUAAGCAGAGGCAAAUGGAAUUCCAGUGACACACAGCACAUACAAGGAAGAAGCCAAGGCCAGCCGUCACUGUGUCCAUUCAGACCGUGGGUCCAACUGUAACAUCUGGUGCCAACAUGAGCCCCAAAAUGCUAAACCAGGCACGUUUAAACAUAGGAGCCCAAGUCUGAAGACUAAGCUGUCUGCCUCCUGCUUCUGUACCCAACACGAACAGAAAUGGAGGAAAGGUGCAGACCCUUUGCUACAAGCUACAUUAAUGGUUUGACUCACUUCACAGGAUUUUCUCUGGAGUCUGCAUUUUGAAAAUACCUCGACCAAGAAAUAUGGACCUUGACAAACAAUAAUUGCUUACCCCAAUCUAUAGCAUCAAAAAGUGGUGUACGGGAUAGGUCCCUAGACUGCAUUGUCCAUGGUGAGGUCCAUCCUACUGCAGAACUAGAAACCUAACAGUUUACAGAGCCUGUUCCUUAAGAAGAUUACGGGCAGGAUCCUACAGCCACAGGAUUUACCCACAAAUACAUCCCUGGCUGCAGAACUGUGAUCCACUCAAAAGACAAUCCUACCCUUUAUGGUGAUGAAGAUAAACUUGAAAACAUGAGCAGUGUAACUACUGCAGCUUCAUCUGCCCGAGAUGGCAGAGAACCUGAAAGUGCCUCAGAUAUGAACGGCCCCCAGUCACCUCAACCAGGGCCCCAUGCUAAGACUCAGAUUGUCAAAUUUAGUAUUCCUCCUUCACCACCACCUCACCAGCCCAAACAGAGAGACAUGGAAUUCAGCAUUUUUGCCAUGGAAUAGUUAUUUGCUGCAGCCAGGUGCCUGACAUCUCGCUCUGCAGUUUCCUCACUGGGGUUAAGUUCAUUGUUUAUACUGCAUGUUCGCAGCACUGUUCCAUGGAAGCAAGCUGCAGAGGCUAGUGGACCAGAGCUGGAGUCCAGCUUGCAGCUAGGGACCCAGAAGGAUAGGUUGGCCAGCUGGGCUGCCUGUAGAACAUGCAGCAGCCAAGGCUUGGGAAGCCAGAGAGAUGAACUUCUGAGGUCAGCUCCAUGUUUGCCUCCCACCCCUAUUCCCAGCCCCACAUGAGAGGGAAGCGGUUCUGAACAGGACUGCCUGGGCAGUUGCAGAAGCAAAGGCCCAGGCUACCUGGAGAACGCAGUGAAAAGCACACCCUUGAAAAUAAUCAAUCAAUGAGAAUUUUCACUGAUGAGCCACAGCGUGGGGGGAG